UAACGCGUAUGCAACCUGUCCGUUACAGGGGAAUAGCCCAUGGAAACGUGGAUUAAUGCUCCAUAAUAUAAUAUAGAGGCAUCUUUAUGUUAUUAAAUAUUUAUAGGUAACGGUUGGGCAUGCGUCCUAUUAGAUAGUUGGGGGGGUAACGGCCCACCAAGUCGAUGAUAGGUAGGGGUUCUGAGAGGAAGGUCCCCCACACUGGUACUGAGACACGGACCAGACUCCUACGGGAGGCAGCAGUGAGGAAUAUUGGUCAAUGGGCGAGAGCCUGAACCAGCCAAGUCGCGUGAGGGAUGACUGCCCUAUGGGUUGUAAACCUCUUUUGUAUGGGGGGAAUAAGCUUUACGAGUAGAGUGAUGACAGUACCAUACGAAUAAGCAUCGGCUAACUCCGUGCCAGCAGCCGCGGUAAUACGGAGGAUGCGAGCGUUAUCCGGAUUUAUUGGGUUUAAAGGGUGCGUAGGCGGCAUUAUAAGUUAGUGGUAAAAUAUUGGGGCUUCACCUCACUACGCCAUUAAUACUGUAGAGCUAGAGAACAGACGAGGUAGGCGGAAUAAGUUAAGUAGCGGUGAAAUGCAUAGAUAUAACUUAGAACACCGAUAGCGAAGGCAGCUUACCAGACUGAGUCUGACGCUGAUGCACGAGAGCAUGGGUAGCGAACAGGAUUAGAUACCCUGGUAGUCCAUGCCGU
rnacentral:rRNA from 1 species